rnacentral:rRNA from 1 species
UACAGAGGUGGCAAGCGUUGUUCGGAAUUCCUGGGCGUACAGGGCGCGUAGGCGGUCCUGUAAGUCCUGUGUGAAAUCCCCCGGCUCAACUGGGGAAUUGCACGGGAAACUGCGGGGCUUGAGUUCGGGAGAGGGAAGCGGAAUUCCGGGUGUAGCGGUGAAAUGCGUAGAUAUCCGGAGGAACACCGGUGGCGAAGGCGGCUUCCUGGACCGACACUGACGCUGAGGCGCGAAAGCUAGGGGAGCAAACGGG